rnacentral:rRNA from 1 species
GACUACCAGGGUAUCUAAUCCUGUUUGCUCCCCACACUUUCGUACCUCAGCGUCAGUAUCGAGCCAGUAAGCCGCCUUCGCCACUGGUGUUCCUCCAAAUAUCUACGAAUUUCACCUCUACACUUGGAAUUCCACUUACCUCUCUCGAACUCAAGACCAGGAGUUUAUGAGGCAGUUCCAGGGUUAAGCCCUGGGAUUUCACCCCAUACUUUCUGAUCCGCCUACGUACGCUUUACGCCCAGUAAUUCCGAACAACGCUAGCCCCCUCCGUAUUACCGCGGCUGCUGGCACGGAGUUAGCCGGGGCUUCUUUACUAGGUACUGUCAUUAUCAUCCCUAGCGAAAGAGCUUUACGAUCCUAAGACCUUCAUCACUCACGCGGCAUGGCUAGAUCAGGCUUUCGCCCAUUGUCUAAGAUUCCCCACUGCUGCCUCCCGUAGGAGUCUGGGCCGUGUCUCAGUCCCAGUGUUGCUGAUCAUCCUCUAAAACCAGCUAAAGAUCGUAGACUUGGUAGGCCAUUACCCCACCAACUAUCUAAUCUUACGCGGGCCAAUCCCUCACCGAUAAAUCUUUCCCCCGAAGGGCGUAUAUGGUAUUACUCUCAGUUUCCCGAGGCUAUUCCAUAGAAAGGGGUAUGUUCCCACGCGUUACUAACCCGUCCGCCGCUCCACCCGAAGGUAGCGCUCGACUUGCAUGUGUUAGGCCUGCCGCCAGCGUUCGUUCUGAGCCAGGAUCAAACUCU